rnacentral:rRNA from 1 species
GACGAGGGACCUAGCGUUGUUCGGAAUUAUUGGGCGUAAAGCGGGUGUAGGCGGUUCUAUAAGUCAGGUGUGAAAUCCCAGGGCUCAACCCUGGAAGUGCAUUUGAUACUGUAGAUCUUGAAUGUGGUAGAGGUUACUGGAAUUGCUGGUGUAGUGGUGAAAUACGUAGAUAUCAGCAGGAACACCGGAGGCGAAGGCGGGUAACUGGGCCAACAUUGACGCUGAGACCCGAAAGCGUGGGGAUCAAACAGG